GACGAACCGAGCGAGCGUUGUUCGGAAUCACUGGGCGUAAAGGGUGCGUAGGCGGCGCGGUAAGUCGGGUGUGAAAUCUCGGAGCUUAACUCCGAAACUGCAUUCGAUACUGGCGUGCUUGAGGACUGGAGAGGAGACUGGAAUUUACGGUGUAGCGGUGAAAUGCGUAGAUAUCGUAAGGAAGACCAGUGGCGAAGGCGGGUCUCUGGACAGUUCCUGACGCUGAGGCACGAAGGUCAGGGGAGCAAACGGG
rnacentral:rRNA from 1 species